GCCUCGCGUCUUGACGCCCCGGAGCAUGCGCAGAGCGGACGCCACUGCGGCGGCGGUGGCGGCGGCCGCGGUGACGAUGGGGCAACUGGAGAAUGGGAUCCCGGUGGCCGUGGGGUCCGUGGGGAAAGGAGGUCCCUGAGGCUCGGAAAUAGGAACCCUGGACCGUAGGACGGGCCGCCUGGACCAAGACCGGGCAGUGGUUUCCCGCGGGCCAAGGGCGCGCCUGGGAACCGCUUUGAUCCCUGACCUGGGGCGGCGAGGCCUAUUUGGGGAGGCAAGGCGGGGCCCGACCGUGGCCGCCUUCUCUGCAAAACUUCCCAAGUGCCAUUAAUUAGCUUAGCAAAUAUUUAUUGAUCUGCUACUGUGUCCCAGCCGCCGUGGAGCCCUCGGUCUAGUGGGGAAGGAGGACAAGAAGCAAGAUUAAUAAGCAAAAUAGUGCAGUAUGAGAGGCGUGAGCCACCUCACCUGGGUGGGUUUUUGUUUAAUUGUUUGUUUUAUUAGAGACAGGGUCUUGCUCUGUAACCCAGGCUGGAGUGCAAUGGUGUAACCACAGCUCAGUGCAGCCUCAAACUCCUGGACUCAAGGGAUCCACCUCAGCCUCCCAAAUAGCUGUGACUACAGGUACAUGCCACCACCACCAGCUUUUUUUUUUUUUUUUUUUUUUUGUCUGUUAUGUUCUGUAGAGCUGAGGUCUGCUGUGUUACCCAAGCUGGUCUCAAACUACUGGGCUCAAGCAGUCCUCCUGGCUCAGCCUCCCAGUGCACUGGGAUUACAGGCAUGAGCCACCAAGCCAGGCCCCAGAAGGACCUGGGUUUAAAACACGACUCCAUUUCUACUACCUGGGUGAUGCAUGGGUAAUACCAGGCAGGUUUACCAGAGCAUCUACACCUCACUUUCUUCACCUGUGAAACAAACAAUAAGGCUGGGUGCGGUGGCUGACAUCUGUAAUCCCAGCACUUUCGGAAGCCAAGGUGGGCAGAUGACCUGAGGUAAGGAGUUCGAGACCAGCCUGGCCAACAUGGUGAAACCCCGUUUCUACUAAAAAUACAAAAAAAUUAAUUAGCCAGGCAUAGUGGCAGGUGCCUGUAAUCACAGCUACUCGGCAGGCUGAGGCAGGAGAAUUUCUUGAACCCAGGAGGUGGAGGUUACAGUGAGCCAAGAUCAUGUCAUUGCGCUCCAGCCUGGGUGACGAGAGUAAAACUCCAUCUCAAAAAAAAAAAAAAAAAAAAAAAAUGCUGGGCCCAGUGGCUCACGUCUGUAAUCCCAACACUUUGGGAGGCCAAGGCAGGUGGAUCAUGAGGUCAAGAGAUUGAGACCAUCCUGGCCAAUGUGGUGAAACACCAUCUCUACUAAAAAUACAAAAAUUAGCUGGCUGUGGUGGCGCGUGCCUGUAGUGCCAGCUACUCAGGAGGCUGAGGCAGAAUUGCAUGAACCCAGGAGGCGGAGGUUGCAGUGAGUCGAGCGUGCCACUAUACUCCAGCCUGGUGACAGAGGGAGAUUCCGUCUCAAAAACAAAACAAGACAAAACAAAAAAAACCCACCAGAAACAAUAAUGGCUCCCACUUCCACUGUUUGGUUAUGAGGAAUCAUGACAGCAGGUAGCCCACCUGCUAGCUCUCUGAUCCUCAGCUAGUGUUAUUGAAUAGUGCACAGUAAGUGAGCAAGUAGAAGUGGGAUCUGAACUCGAUUCCUCAUUCAUUCAAGUAGUUAUUUUUUUGUUUUUUUGUUUUUGUUUUUGAGACACAGGCUUGCUGGGUCAUCCAGCCUGGACUGCGGUGGCACGAUCAGUACUCACUGUAGCCUCGACCUCCUGGGCUCAAGCGAUCCUCCUGCCUCAGCCUCCCGAGUAGCUUGGACUACAAGGGUGGGACACCACACUCAGCUAAUUUUCUUAAAAUUUUUUGUAGAGACAGUCACACUAUGUCGUCCAGGCUGGUUUCAAACUCCUGGGCUCAGGUGAUCCUCCCACCUCAGCCUCCCAAAGUGCUGGGAUUACAGGCGUGAGCCAAGGCGCCCGGCCAAAUAGUAUUUCUUAUGCUCUCUCCAAAUGCUAAGCAUUGAGCUAGGAAUACCCUGCAGCAAUGCAUGGAGGAGGCAGGGUUGCUGCCCAUGGAGUGGAUGGUAUGACUGUUCUCUAAUUGUCUUUUAUGCUAAUCACACUAAUAUGCAAUAGUGUAAAGAAAAACAGGCCGGGCCAGGCGCGGUGCCUCACGCCUGUAAUCCCAGCACUUGGGAGGCCGAGGCAGGCGGAUCACCUGAGGUCAGGAGUUCAGGACUAGCCUGACCGACGUGGAGAAACCCUGUCUCUACUAAAAAAAUACAAAAUUAGCCGGGUGUGGUGGUGCAUGCCUGUAAUCCCAGCUACUUGGGAGGCUGAGGCAAGAGAAUCGCUUGAACCCAGCGGGCAGAGGUUGCGGUGAGCUGAGAUCAUGCCGUUGCACUCCAGCCUGGGCAACAAGAGCGAAACUCCGUCUCAAAAAAGAAAAACAGGCCGGUUGUGGUAGCUCAUGCAUGCCUAUAAUGGCAGUACUUUGGGAGGCCCAGGCUGGCAGAUCACUUGAGGACAGGCGUUCAAGACCAGCUUGGGUAACAUUGUGAAACCCCAUCUCUACAAAGC
rnacentral:lncRNA from 10 species